AAUAAAUAUGUUUGAUUCACGCGGUGUAUAUAUGUUUUUAUUCCAUUUUGACAAUUUAAACUGACUUUAUUAACUCCAUAGUAACCUUCAUAAGGAGCAAGGCCAACUGAAUCCAUGACGCUUGGCGCGUCAUAAGGCCAAGUCACUCGGCUUUUGAAAGAUUAUGACAAGUUUAGAAAGUGGCGUCACCUUGUGAAACUUUUAAUGAUUACGAUUAUCAUCAGCGUCACUCUAGUCACGCUCACGACCUUCUCUAUUAACUACGGCCUGCUCAAUCGACCUGAAUUUCAUUGUUUUUUUGAUUCUGAGAAAACGCAAAAUGUCGCCACUUUGGCGCCACUUACCCGUUAACCGUCAAUUAAUUUUAGACCAUCAACUGUCAGUUUAUAGGUUAACAAGAAUUAGGAAACACUGGAAAUUUUGAUUUAAAUUUAUAAUAGAUGAAACCAUUAAGCUACAUGUGUACUUCAGAGGGCGUUUGCGAGAAAUAAUUCCAAAAUCAGCCCGUAAAGCCAUGGUUGGGCCUGCCCUCAACGUGGGUAAGGGUAUCGUUUUUACCUAGUUUUUCCGAGUUUGUGAGCGACUCCCACAAUACGAACGCAUUUCGAAAUGCGAAAAUGAUCUCCGAUAAACCUCUGAAAUUUGAAAUGACAACUUAUGAUUAAAGAUGGUAUAAAAUCAAAAUCAGAACUCUCGUGAGGUAAGUUCCCCAUGAACGCGUAUUUGCGAAGUGCGAAUGUCGCCUAUCUCCAUUCGACCAAUGAAAUCCAAGAAAAUUUUGUACGCGCGUAUCCAAGGUCACUUCGCUUCGAGUUGAUUUUACUUUAACUCAUGGGGGUGUCACUCGAAUACAAAUUUAGGAAGCAAGCCUCAGCGCCCUCGGUGUCGAGCUGACCAAGUAACGAAAAACGCGCACUUUUGAAAACGUUCAAAUCAUCCAAUGAGAGUGCGAUGCCGUUAGCUGGCAUCAGCUGGUUUUGUGGCGUGCGUACGUGCGAUUAAAAAAAGCCGCUGCUAUGAAAGUGUAAAAUCGUGCAGCGAAAAAAGCCGGACUGAGGCAUUCCUUACAUCUCUCGAACAUGGAGACACCACGCCGUAUUGCAUAUCGAUGUAAAUAUCCAAACUGCGGAAAUGUGUUCUACAAGGGUGGUGGUAAUGACCUUAGAUUUUACCAUUUUCCAAGAAAUGUGGAAAUGGAGGAACUUUGGAGACAAAUUUGUAAAAUUGAUGCAAGUAAACCGUGUAAGUCCUUAUACUUGUGUAAAAAUCAUUUUCAAUCGACAGAUUUUCAGGAUCCAUUAAAUCGAAACAGACUGUUGCCUAAUGUGGUCCGAAAGGAAUAUGUCUCCAAAGAGUCCAUGAGCAGUCAAGUGGUUGCAGCGGAAAUUUACACUCAGUUACUGUGGAAUUCGUAGCUAGUUGCUCAUUUUCUGCUGAAACAGACUUUUCUACCGUAGAAGAAAGUAACGUUUGCUUAGAGGAACUUGCUUCAGAGUUGUAGUUCGCCUCCUCGUGGUGCACCUUGGGUAACGCUAAAUGAAUUGGCACAUAUCGAUAUUGACAGAAAUAUCUCGUCAAGUACGCAGUUGUUCAUUUUCCUUACAACACAAUCUGACAGGAGGGAUGAUAACCCUAGAAGCUUUACAUUGUGAGUUACAUAUCUUUCUCUUAUUAUUAUUGUAUCUAAUAUUUGUAUUUCUUGAUUUGUUUAUUUUAUAUGUAUUUAGAUGUAUGAUAAUAAAUAGGUUACAUUACA